rnacentral:rRNA from 1 species
UACGAAGGGGGCUAGCGUUGUUCGGAAUUACUGGGCGUAAAGCGCACGUAGGCGGUUAGUCGCGUCGGGAGUGAAAACUCAGGGCUCAACCCUGAGCGUGCUUCCGAUACGGGCUGACUAGAGGUAUGCAGGGGAGAACGGAAUUCCUGGUGUAGCGGUGAAAUGCGCAGAUAUCAGGAGGAACACCGGUGGCGAAGGCGGUUCUCUGGGCAUUACCUGACGCUGAGGAGCGAAAGUGUGGGGAGCGAACAGG